rnacentral:rRNA from 1 species
GACGAACGCUGGCGGCGUGCUUAACACAUGCAAGUCGAACGGAAAGGCCCUGCUUUUGUGGGGUGCUCGAGUGGCGAACGGGUGAGUAACACGUGAGUAACCUGCCCUUGACUUUGGGAUAACUUCAGGAAACUGGGGCUAAUACCGGAUAGGAGCUCCUGCUGCAUGGUGGGGGUUGGAAAGUUUCGGCGGUUGGGGAUGGACUCGCGGCUUAUCGGCUUGUUGGUGGGGUAGUGGCUUACCAAGGCUUUGACGGGUAGCCGGCCUGAGAGGGUGGCCGGGCCCCAUGGGACUAGGGCAACGGCCCAGGGGGCAGCGGAGGGAAGGGGGGGGGAAGUUGGGAAACGGGGCGGAGUGCUUAAGGAGAAACCCCGGGGCGGAAAGGGCGGUUUUGGGGUGGAAACCGCCUUUCACGUGUCUAAAAGCGUCGUGGCGGUUAAUGGGUAAAAAAGCACGGCUAACUACGGG